rnacentral:rRNA from 1 species
CAACCUGUACGGCUAAAUAUUCUCGUGAGACCGAUAGCGAACCAGUACCGUGAGGGAAAGGUGAAAAGAACCCCGAGCAGGGGAGUGAAAGAGAUCCUGAACCCUUGCGCCUACAAGCGGUCGGAGCUGCCUAUGGCAGUGACGGCGUGCCUUUUGCAUAAUGAACCUACGAGUUACCAUCACAGGCAAGGUUAAGUCUCACGAGAGACGCAACCGCAGUGAAAGCGAGGCUGAAGAGGCCGUCGAGUCUGUGGGGGUAGACGCGAAACCAAGUGAUCUACACUUGGCCAGGAUGAAGUCCCGGUAACACGGGAUGGAGGUCCGCACCAAUAAGCGUUGAAAAGCUUCUGGAUGAGCAUAGUGUAGGAGUGUAAGGCCAAUCAAACUUGGAGAUAGCUCGUACUCCCCGAAAGGCAUUUAGGUGCCGCGUCGGAUGGUCACCGUGAGAGGUAGAGCGACCGAUAGGACAAGAGGGCUUCACCGCCUAUCGAGUCCUGACGAACUCCGAAUGCUCACGGUCUGCAGUCCGGCAGUAAGGGGGCGGGUGCUAAGGUCCGUCCCCGAGAGGAGAAGAAUCCAGACCGCCGUCUAAGGUCCCGGAGUUCUGCCUGAGUUAGUCUAACGAAGUCUGGUCCCUAUGACAGCUAGGAUGUUGGCUUGGAAGCAGCCAUUCAUUCAAAGAGUGCGUAACAGCUCACUAGUCGAGGGUCCGGGCAUGGAUAAUAAUCGGGUAUAAGGCAGACACCGAAGGCGCGGGAUAGCAAUUA